UCAGCAGGGGUUCAGAUAAAAAAUCGGCAGCUGGCAGCAGGAAGUGGCUGCCAUUGACAGCCGGAAGGCAGUAACUGGCAGCCGGAUGGUAGGCGGGACCUGCCAUUCGGUGGGAGCCAAUCAGUAUCGACCAACGUGGGCGCAACCAAUCAGAUAUAACUGCACCCAAACGCUUCAGUAAUGGUUGCGAUUGAUCAAACGUUGCCAGAUGCUGUCCUGUUGGAAAUUCUUCUUUACGUGAUCCUGGAGGAGGGGUGAUGCUACAUUACUAAGUCCGUCUUUGGUUUGUUCCAAAUUCAGAAGUCUGUUGUACUGUAUACAGACUCCUUUCGAAAGGGGGCACAAUCCAGCUUGCUUGACGGAGUAUCUUCUUUUACAUAUUUGAUUAGAGGUUUAAAAAGGUGCCAUAACAUUACAUUUCUCAGUUGCCAUGUCUGAAUGUUUAUCUUUGUAAUAAUGCUGUUUUCAUGCUCCUCAUCUCAAUAUACAGGUGGAACAAAAUGGAGAACAAGUCUAAGCCAUGUCAGGAAUUCAACAAAAUGUACACCCUGCAGACACUGCGACAAGGUUUACAACAACUGGUUACCAGGUCACUGCAGUCACCCGGAUCGAGUACGUAUUCAGACCAGAUGGUGGAUCGCACCUAGAAAGGACCUCUACAGCCCUGAAAGACAGCGGAGACCAGGACAACUAGAGCCCCAGAUACAGAUCCCUUGUAAAGACCUUUGUUUUUUUCUCCAUUUUGUCACCGGUGGAGUUUUGGUUCCUUGUCGCCUCUGGCUUGCUUCGUUGUGGUCACUUCAUUUACAGUGAUAUCAUUGACAUGAUUGCAAAUGAUUCCACAGAUACUAUUUAAACUGAACCGAGCUGAAGGAUGACAUCACUGAAUUGAAUGAUAAACUGACUACAAACUGAGUUUACUAAUGUCCUUCUGCAUUAUUGACUGACACACUAUUUUCCUAUUUAAUACUGUAAAGUUGCUUUGCUUUGAUCUGUAUUAAUAAAAGCACUAUAUAAAUAAACAAUGCUUGACUUGACCA